ensembl:lncRNA GASK1B-AS1 GASK1B antisense RNA 1
CAUUUCUCUGCCGCAUCCACAUGUUGAACGGAGUUUAAAGUCUGCAGUUGGCUCCUGCUAAUGUGAUGCAUGGUUUCCUGACUUCAGCUGCCGCGUCCGCUUCGGGAUUAGGAAAAGUGCUUUUGGAGAAAAUCACCUGUCUCCUCAGAACUGGUCUUACAAGUCUGUGAAGUAACACUAUGUGCCAGCCUAAUCACUCAUAUAUGACCUCAAGAGAACACCAAAUAAGCAUAUUUCCAGCAGGAAAUGACCAGUGCUUUGGUUAAGAAUGCACAUUAUACUGCAGUUCUUUGGGGAAUGAAGCCACCCUUGACUGAGGUAUUAUGCCAACUCUCACCCUGUGAAUCCACUGACUGGGGAACAUUGUUUAAGAAAAUCACAUGGCUGUGCCAACAAGCAAGGAGACACGGCACAGAAGACAGAGGCAGAAGCAGCUUUAUUGAAAAACAGAGCAUGAGUAGAACGACUUCAAAUCCCAUAUGGCACCACAGUGAGAAGUAACUUCCUCUGAGCUUCUUAGAGAAUCCAACAAUGUCCUGCUUCCUUGGGGAGCUGCAGCCAUGGGCACAUGGGAAUAGGGCUUCCACCAAGAGUCCCGUCAGUCACAGCAACAGGAGGUCUUCCUCAGACAACUUUGAUGAUAGUGGUUGUUAGCCAGAGCAAGCUAGAACCAGAAAGAAAAACUAUGAAGAUGCCACAGUGGGAGUCUGAGCACCUUGAGGCCUCCUGUUGGAAACUGGCAAACCUAACUGUGGGACACUUGGAUGCUGAGUUCUGGUAAACAUGCUGUCGGAGGCACGGUAAUUUAGUCAUUAACAUUUAAAAACGAUCUAAUUCUAUAUACAUACUCUGUUGAAGACUUCUUCCAACCACCUUGUAUUAUAAAUUUAAAAUAUGAAAUACAAACUCUUUAUGUGUCUUGACUCAGAUUACCUAGGAAGGGACAGUGACCUAUUCAUCAAUGUUUAGAAUUAGAGUAAGUUAUAGAAUAUAGUCUGAGAAAAUUACUUGGACCAAGAAAGCAAUGUCCCUGACAUUCAUCAAUCUAGAACCAGAGCUGCAGAUUAAGCUAGGUGCAAAUUUAUCAGAAAACAAUAUUUUUCCCAAAUACAUAUUGCAGCCAUAAAAUGCCCUAAAAACCCAGUUCUUAGAGGGACUAUUGCUUACUUACUGAGAAAUUGUAUUCUCUGAAAUCAUAGACUAUGAGAUGCAUUGCUGUUUAAAAUUAUUGCAAUAAGAAUGAAACAUCUCACUCUUAUCUGGAGGAGUUAAGUCAUUGUGAUCAGUGAAGCCUUGAUUUAAGCUCCUGUGCAAAGCUUCAGAGAAUGGGUCUCAGGACACAACAUUUGACAUCUAUUUUGACUUCAUUUCCAAGAAAAUAGGACUGCUAUGGUUUGAAUGUUUGUCUCCCUCAAACCAAGGUGUCGGAGGUGGGGCCUAAUGGGAGACGUUUGGGUUAUCAGGGAGGGUCCCUCAUGAAUAGAUUAAUGCUCUCCCUGGGGGUAGGGAACAGUUAGUGAGUUCUUGCUUUAUUCAUUCUCAAGAGAGCUGGUUGUUAAAUAGAGCCUGGCGCCUCCCUCCUCCCUCCUUGCUUUCUCUCUCACCGUAUGAUCUUAGCACAUUACACCUCCCCUCACCUUCUGCCAUGAGUGGAAGCAGCCUGAGCCUCUCACCAGGAGCAGAUGCUGGUGCCAUGCUUCUUGUACAGCCCACAGAGCAGUGAGCCAAAUAAACCUCUUUUCCUUAGAGAUUGCGCAGCCUCAGAUGUUCCUCUAGAGCAACACAAAAUGGACUAAGACAAGAACCAUAGGUCCAUUUCACAGUACAGAGCUGAGGUUGACCCCUUUUAUACACAACCAUACUUUCUUAGAGCCCAUAGAAUAUCAUUUCAUUUACAUCACACCUAAAUUCCACUCUUUAGCAAAAUCUUAUGUUAACCCUAUAUUUUCCUUUGUUUGAUGAGAUACCCCACAAUUGCUCUGUUGUGCAGUCCCCACACUGCAAUGAGUCAGUAAACUCAAUUGGUUUGUUUACAGGUUGUCCCUGGUGGUUUUAGGCUGAUUGGGCUAAGACAAACCACAUCUUAUUUUUUAAAUGUCUCCUUUAAGCAAAUGUUAUUAUCUGUAUUUUACUCUAUUCCAUAAGCAGAAGUGACAAAGUAGUCUAAUUUUACCAAAAGAUGCUUAUAGCAUAAAACUUUCUAUGCUGUAAACAUAGAAAGUACUUG